UGUUUCUGACAGUACUUUCUACAAACCGACUGACCACUUUUAAAUCUGUUUAGGUUAUAGUAUGUACGGAGUGUAAUAAUUAACGACUCUAGAUAAUAUUAUCGGUCACAGUUCGAGAAAAUCGACACGAGGCACUGCGCGAGUAGGAAAUGUUUUUAAAACUCUUUUUUGUGUUUUUUCUUAUUGGAUUAACUUAUGGGUUACCCCAAUACAGCUACAACCAAGGCCGUUCCGUGCCAGGGACCGAAUUCAGCGGACUAGCCAACGGCCAAGGUAGCCAAGGCUCCGGACCGGCCGCCAAUCAAGGAUAUGGGAAUGGACAAGACUUUAAUCACCGUAAGGGUUACCAAGAGAUGGGAUAUUAAUGUUUUACAUAAUCUCGACGAUAAUAAAAGCACCAAUCGCAAUUUAGAUAAUCAUGUUCUGUAAUUAUCACUAAAUAUAUAAGGCAUUAUCAAACUGUCUAUUAAUGAUUCCUAUUCUCAAAAGUAAGCACAUGCUUACUCUGGACCUAAAGAAAAUGAAGAACUGGCUCGCAAGUGCGUUGGGGCCUUUACCGACUAAUUGGUAACUCUUUUCUUGAAGGACCCUGAUUUGAAUGGGCCGGGAUAUACUUCAGUGGGGAAGUGGUUCCACAUAGCGAUUUAAGUCAAGAACUGGCAGCCAAAAACGCUCAGUUGUAGAACGACGGACCUCGACUUGCAAUUUUAUUUUGCUUCUCGUCAAUACGAUGGUGACGUGAUGACGACUGCUCGUGGUAAAUGCGGUAGAAGGUUCAGAGAGAACUCACAUUUGUCGUUGACGAUAUGAACCGCUCUACAUAGAAUACGGUCAACUGAAAGGAUCUGGUACUGGAGAGCUCUCGGCUAGAGAAGUGUUGGAGUACCGCUCCAUGUAUGGCUGAGAUUGCGCUUUAUAGAGUUGCAAACGGUGGCCCUGAGUGAAGUACCGUCUCGCCUUGCUGAGGAACAGCUUCUUAAGGCUAAAUUUAACUUUUUCUUUCAAAUAUGAGUUCGAAACUGAAUAUAAUUUCAGGCAUCAAAGUAUUGCACCGUACGACUCAAUAACGUCAAAAUGACGACAGCCCAGACGAUCGCAUCCAGGUCUGACAGAAAUUUCGUUGGACAGCUUAGGCAUGAGAUUAGAAUGAUCGAGUCCCCGAAGGGAGGUGGGCCAAUAUCGCGUCUCCCUGUUUAAUUUUUGUUUUAUCUGGAGGUCGCAGACGGAGAACUACCACAUCUUUCUUGACACACAGACGUGGUAGUUCUCCGCCUGCAAAGUACAAGGUGCAAGAAAGAGCUUUUAUGACAUCUGGUACACAGACUUUUAGCAAUUAAUAGAAAUAAAUCUAGUAUUCUACUAGUAGUAACAGA